rnacentral:rRNA from 1 species
UGGGGAAUAUUGCACAAUGGGCGCAAGCCUGAUGCAGCCAUGCCGCGUGUGUGAAGAAGGCCUUCGGGUUGUAAAGCACUUUCAGCGAGGAGGAAGGUGGUGAGCUUAAUACGCUCAUCAAUUGACGUUACUCGCAGAAGAAGCACCGGCUAACUCCGUGCCAGCAGCCGCGGUAAUACGGAGGGUGCAAGCGUUAAUCGGAAUUACUGGGCGUAAAGCGCACGCAGGCGGUUUGUUAAGUCAGAUGUGAAAUCCCCGGGCUCAACCUGGGAACUGCAUUUGAAACUGGCAAGCUAGAGUCUCGUAGAGGGGGGUAGAAUUCCAGGUGUAGCGGUGAAAUGCGUAGAGAUCUGGAGGAAUACCGGUGGCGAAGGCGGCCCCCUGGACGAAGACUGACGCUCAGGUGCGAAAGCGUGGGGCAGCAAACAGGAUUAGAUACCCUGGUAGUCCACGCUGUAAACGAUGUCGAUUUGGAGGUUGUG